CAUAUGCACACCGAGCGACAGUAACACACCAGCAGGCGCUGCCAGCACCGUGCUGACGGCACCCAAGAUCAGUGUUACUUAGUGAUGUCGUUUGCACACUAAGCAACAACUGGAAGAGAAAAAUAAUGCGAACAGCCCCUCACGUCUUUGCACACGAUGGAUAAACAUGGUAAUGUCUGCGAGUGGGCAGCAGGAUUCGGCUACAAAACAGACCUGACUUUCCCCCCUCCCUCCCCAAAAGUAAGAUGAUGUAAUGUUUGUGUUCCAGAGCCUGAGACAUAGUCACCUUGUUCAUGUGAAUUACAGAGGUAGGUGGAUAGAACUGCCACGUUGCCCCUCGGUGAGCAUUUCAGACGGGCGCCCCUCCACCUAACAGGAUAACAUUUGCAGGGCUGUGAUCUGCUUCUUCCUCCUCACCCCUCCGCAGCACUGCAGGAACAGCUGAGGAGACUACAAGGCAUUUUAUUUUUCCGUCUGCUUCCCAUCCAAGGGCUUCCUUUUUCUUCCUGGUGCUUCAUUAUCUCGUCUGCCUCGAACUGACUAGGAGGAGGAAAAAAAUCCCCAAAAUUCUGUGUUUCCCUGUGAUUUGCAGCCUGGAGUGUAAAUUCAGAACUGAGUACUUUCUGCAAACCAUGCUGAAUGACUUGUUAUCAGUAUGAGGUUUGUGAUAAAGGGGAGGAAAUGGUCUUUUGAUAGUAAAUAAAAGUUUCAUAAUAA